GCUGGGCGUGGUGGCGCGCGCCUGUAAUCCCAGCUACUUGGGAGGCUGAGGCAGAAGAAUCGCUUGAACCCAGGAGGCAGAGGUUGCAGUGAGCCGAGACUGUGCCACUGCACUCCAGCCUGGGCGACAGAGCGAGACUCUGUCUCAA
rnacentral:SRP_RNA from 2 species